rnacentral:rRNA from 1 species
GAUGAACGCUGGCGGCGUGCCUAAUACAUGCAAGUCGAGCGAACGGACGAGAAGCUUGCUUCUCUGAUGUUAGCGGCGGACGGGUGAGUAACACGUGGAUAACCUACCUAUAAGACUGGGAUAACUUCGGGAAACCGGAGCUAAUACCGGAUGAUAUUUUGAACCGCAUGGUUCAAAAGUGAAAGACGGUCUUGCUGUCACUUAUAGAUGGAUCCGCGCUGCAUUAGCUAGUUGGUAAGGUAACGGCUUACCAAGGCAACGAUGCAUAGCCGACCUGAGAGGGUGAUCGGCCACACUGAACUGAGACACGGUCCAGACUCCUACGGGAGGCAGCAGUAGGGAAUCUUCCGCAAUGGGCGAAAGCCUGACGGAGCAACGCCGCGUGAGUGAUGAAGGUCUUCGGAUCGUAAAACUCUGUUAUUAGGGAAGAACAUAUGUGUAAGUAACUGUGCACAUCUUGACGGUACCUAAUCAGAAAGCCACGGCUAACUACGUG